UGGGAUGUAGCCAAGUUGGUCAAGGCACAGGACUUUGACUCCUGCAUUUCGUGCGUUCAAGUCGCACCAUCCCAGCCA
rnacentral:tRNA from 1 species